UUACAACAACCAAAAGGAUUUUGAGGUAUCUAAAAGGUACAGCAAGCUAUGGUGUUGCAUUCAUACAAGCUAAAACCAUUGAACUUGUAGGAUUUUCUGAUAGUAAUUGGGGAGGUAGCAUUGAUGAUGUCAAAAGUACCUCUGGAUAUGUAUUUACUCUUGGGAAUGGAGUGUUUUCAUGGAAUUCACACAAGCAAGAAUCAGUGGCACAAUCCUCAGCAGAAGCAGAGUACGUAGCAGCUGCUGCAGCCGCAAAUCAAGGGAUAUGGUUGAGAAAAAUUCUACUUGAUCUUGGAAUGCCGUUGAUGAAUCCUACCAAGGUGUUUGUUGACAACAAAUCUGCAAUAUCAAUAGCUCAAAAUCCAGUUUUCCAUGGGAGAACUAAACACAUUCAUGUAAAAUAUCAUGCCUUGAGGGAUGCACAAAAGAAAAGUGAAAUUCUUGUACAAUAUUGCUCAUCUGAUGAUCAAGCUGCUGAUAUUAUGACUAAGCCUCUUUCUAAGGUUAAGUUUGAACAUAAUCAAGAAAUACUUAUGGUAAAGAAUGCAAGCAUUAAGGAAGGGUGUUAAGAAUAAUACUUGCAUGGCUUGGUGUCCGUGUAUGUGCAGUUGCUGAUUACUUGGAUAAAGACAUGCAGUUGCUGGUUAUUUGGAUUUAGACAUGCAGUUACUUGUAGUAAAUUGUUUUUAAACUUCCUUUUAACACUUGUAAUCCAUGCCUUAAUACUUGAAUCCACGUCUUGACAAGUGUUAUGUAUGUAACUAUCUUUUUUAUGUAUAAAUAGGGGUGUUUAGUAUAAAUAAAGUGUGCCUUCAUCAGAACAAUUUCUGUUCUUCUUUAAAAUUCCUUCUCUGGUUUGUUGCUGCACGCAAAUGCAAUUAUGCAUUAGUGUGGAAAACUAUCCUUUUAAGCAUUUGAGCUAAAGAGUGCUAAUUACACUCACGAAAAACAGGUUUUAUCUUUGUUCAAUUUAUCUUGCUUUGAAUUGGUUUUUUAACAUUACUGUUAUAUAUACUUAAUUAAAAAAAGUACUGCUUACUCAAAAGUUCCAUUUUUGGACUAGCUUGUUUAUUGUUCUGUAUGACUAGAUGCUUUCAAUAGUAGUAGAAUUUUCAAAAAUUUCUAGUAAAAAUUCAUGUCAUUCCCAAGACAAUGAGUAUUUUCACUGUUGAAAAUCUCUACAAUUUCAACAAAAAUUUCUAAUUUUUCGAUUUUACUACUUACAGAUGUGCAUAUUCCUGUGCAUGGGAGGCAACAGCACAACAUGGAUGAACACGGCGGUGUUAGUAACUUGCAUCCGCAACUUCCGCCGCAACCGUGGCCCAGUAUCCGGCAUCUUGAAAGGCUAUGUCGGUCUCAGCACCGCCAUCUUCACCGACCUCUGCUCCGCACUCUUCUCCAACGACCUCAUCAUGCUCGCGGUCAUCCCCUUCGCCGUUUGCCUCACGGCCAUCUUCUUCCUCCGUGAAAUCCCCCAAACCGCCUCCGUUGCGGCAGAGAAGGAAGAAACCCGCUAUUUCGCAAUAUUUAACAUAGUAGCAGUCGUAGUCGCUGUUUAUCUUUUGGCUUACGAUUUCAUCGGUUAGACCAAUCAAGUUUUUUCGUUCGUUUUUGCGGUUAUUCUCCUUAUUUUAUUAGCUAGUCCGUUGGCAGUUUCGGUUUAUUCUUUUGUAAAGAGUUGGCGUUUGGUCGGGUUCGAAGCUGACAAGGAGCGACAGGAACCGUUGCUGAAAGAGGAAGCUACGGAGGCAAGGAAAGCGGAGAUUGUUGCAGAGGAGGAGGAGGAAGUGGCGGCUGCUGCUGUGGCGGCCGAGGUAGAGGUGGCAGUGGUGGAAAAGAGUAGGAUUUUAAAUUAAUAUUUUAAAGGCAUUAUCCACUCGUUAUAUAAACUUCUGCUGCGUGAAA
rnacentral:lncRNA from 1 species